UACGAAGGGGGCUAGCGUUGUUCGGAAUUACUGGGCGUAAAGGGCGCGUAGGCGGUGCCUCAAGUCAGGCGUGAAAGCCCCGGGCUCAACCUGGGAACCGCGCUUGAGACUGGAGUACUAGAGUUCGGGAGAGGAUGGUGGAAUUCCCAGUGUAGAGGUGAAAUUCGUAGAUAUUGGGAAGAACACCGAUGGCGAAGGCAGCCAUCUGGACCGACACUGACGCUGAGGCGCGAAAGCUAGGGGAGCAAACGGG
rnacentral:rRNA from 1 species